CCCGCCGCGCUCACCGCCCGCCCCUCCCGCGGCUCGGCCGCACAGGCUCCUCCAGGCGCUCUCGCCCUGGGCUGUUUAUUCCGGCGGCAGCGGUGACCCAGGUGGCUGCGGGAGCUGAAGGCUGAGCCCCUUCUCUCGCCUGAUUUCUGUACAUUUCGUUUUUCUCACACACGCCGAGGGAGCCGCGGCGCAGGACGCAGGAUGCAGCCCGGCUGCGGCGAGUGCUGAGCGCGGUGGCCGCCGGAGGAGGGAGCGGCUCUGUCAGCGCCUCCGCUCCGCGCGGCGGCGGCUCGGGCGGUCCCUCGCCCCCUUCCUUCGCCGUGGCCACCCGCCCCAAACUUUCAGCCUGUUGUCGCUGCCAGGCGAAGCCCAGCUCGACAUAAAUGGUGGAGGCGAUAGUGGAGUUUGACUACAAAGCUCAACACGAUGAUGAGCUGACAAUCACUGUAGGUGACAUAAUCACCAAUAUCAAGAAAGAUGAUGGAGGCUGGUGGGAAGGACAGCUCAAAGGCAGAAGAGGUUUGUUCCCUGACAACUUUGUAAGAGAAAUAAAGAAAGACAUGAAGAAAGAAAAUACUGCCAACAAACCACCAGAGAAGCCUAUAAAUGAAGUUUCCAAUGGAAGCCCUUUACUGUUGUCUGAGACAAUUAUUAGAACCAACAAAAAAGGAGAGAGAAACAGAAGAAGGAGAUGUCAGGUGGCUUUCAGUUACAUGCCUCAAAAUGAAGAUGAAUUGGAAUUAAAAGUUGGUGACAUCAUUGAAGUUGUGGGAGAGGUGGAAGAGGGCUGGUGGGAAGGUAUACUUAAUGGAAAGACUGGCAUGUUUCCUUCCAACUUCAUAAAGGAGCUCUCUGAUUCUGAUGAAGUUGGAAUAGCACAGGAAGAGCAAGUAAAGUCAAGAAAAUCUGCCUUUGAAGGGACAAUUCUGUACAGAGUGGCACCGGCAAAGAUUGACAGCUACAGACGUUAUAACAGCCUAAAAGAUGCUACAGGCUCUGAGAGUGAUGGUGGUGACUCUUGCAGUACAAAAUCAGAAGGAGCCAACGGAGGCACGACAAUCCAACCCAAAAAGGUCAAAGGUGUUGGCUUUGGAGACAUCUUCAAAGACAAACCCAUAAAGCUACGACCAAGGUCAAUAGAAGUUGAAAAUGACUUCCUCCCAGUAGAUAAGAGUGUUGGGAAGAAAUUACCUCCAGCCACAGCAACUCAGGAGCCAACAAAAAUAGAAGUGGACAGCAGAACAAAAAACAAGGAGUAUUGCAAAGUGAUAUUUCCGUAUGAAGCACAGAACGACGAUGAACUCACAAUCCGGGAAGGUGAUGUUGUCACACUUAUCAGUAAGGAUUGCAUUGAUGUGGGUUGGUGGGAAGGAGAACUCAAUGGCAGACGAGGUGUCUUUCCAGAUAACUUUGUCAAGCUACUCCCUUCAGAUUUUGAAAAAGAGAGACCGAAGAAACCACCACCUCCAUCAGCGCCUGUCAUCAAACAAGGAUCAGGGACCACAGAUCGAAAGCAUGAAAUCAAGAAGAUACCACCUGAAAGGCCAGAAUGUCUUCCUAAUCGAACAGAAGAAAAAGAAAGAUCAGAGAGAGAGCAAAAACAGUUAGACUUGCAGAAGCCUUCAGUUCCUGCUAUACCUCCGAAGAAACCUCGGCCACCCAAAGCCAACGCUGUGAACAGACCUGGCACCUUGCCCCCAAGACGACCAGAAAGACCAGUUGUGCCUGUGACUCAUGCAAGGAGUGAUAGUCCAAAAGUGGAAUUAGUGGGCAGUACAGUAUCCGGCACUCUAGAGAAAGACUCCUCUGAAAGAAGCAAUGACAUCGACUUGGAAGGUUUUGAUUCUGUAAUACCAAUUGCUGAGAAGCUUAAUCAUCCAACUACAACCAGACCAAAAGCUACUGGCAGGCGACCACCCUCCCAGUCUCUCACAUCUUCAUCCCUUUCGAGCCCUGAUUUCUUUGACUCACCAAGUCCUGAAGAUGAGAAGGAAGAACAUGUUUCCAUUACUCACAAAACUCUUGACGUGUCAAGGAAAUCAAGAACUGUUACAAUAUCACAAGUGUCUGAUAACAAAACUUCCUUGCCUCCAAAACCAGGAGGUCUGGCUAGUGGCAGUAAUGUACAACCAUCACUAUCCCCUUCACCAUCACCUGGAUUUCACUCAAUUGCUAUGGGAACAACAGGCCACAGGUCAAAUUCCCCAUCCCUGUUUGGUACUGAAGGAAAGCCAAAGACUGAGCACUUGAGCCAAGGUCAGACUGCCCUGGAAGAGCUGAGAACACAAAUUAGGGAGCUAAGAACCAUCAUUGAAACCAUGAAAGACCAGCAAAACCCAGGCAGGAAAAAGAAAAGGGCAAGCAGCGUGCAGAGCCUGUGGCGGAACAGAGGUGUGCGGAGUUUGGGAGAAGAUGCGGGAGGGCAUGGUUCAAGCUGGAUGUAGCCAGCAAGCCCCACGGCCUCGCCUCUUAGGCUGACCCUGCUCCUCUGGUCUCCCCGGCCCUUCUUGCAAGGGCAGCUUCCACCUACUGGUAUCUGUCCUAAGAAAAGAGAUUAAACAGUUGCUCUCUGAGUUGGAUGAAGAGAAGAAGAUCCGUCUACGAUUGCAGAUGGAAGUUAAUGACAUAAAGAAAGCUCUUCAAUCAAAGUGAAUACUUGAUAGGUGGAAUGUUGCAUUAUUCUUCAUGACUGAGACUCAAAUUUAUGCCCCAGCCAAAAUAACUUUGUGCCAAAUGAUUUAUGAAUUGCCUCAACAUCCCUUUGUUUGAAGGAUUAGCACAACAGUUUUUGAUAGCACAACAAAAAUACCAACGAGAACAAAAUUUCUACCCAAAGCCGUGCUGUACGGCACUAGUUGUGACUGAAAUUGAUCUUCUUGUGCUAAAGGCUCUCUACUUCAAGAUCCUAGGUGAAAUGAAAACUCAGGCAGUUUAGUCCAUAGUGGUACUAUUUUGAUGAUAUUUUUCCAUAAAUAAAGUGUAUUUCAGAUUAUCUGUUUACAAGCUUUAUGAUUUUGACUUUUGGUUUUUAAUUGUCUUUUGUCACAGAUUUUAAGAUGUUUGUACUUCAUAUAGCCAGGAAUGAAUGUUAAUGUUGGGGCUGAAGGGAUUAUUUUUGCUUUGAGAUUGAACAGUCUACUUUUCAUUAUGGUUUUAAGUUUUGUUAAAUAUGCAAUUUUUUGUCCCCAAAUCCCCUACAACUUAAACUUACAUUGUGUACAGUAAUGUAUUUACACAAAGGAAACAAACCAACAGAAGUCUGGUCUUUGCAAUGAUUUGUGCCUUUCUUUGCCACACACUGACUGGAGCCGGUUGAGGCCAGGUCUCCCUAUGUAGCUACCACGACGACUCCUGUCCCCGGUGUCCUCCUGUCCCCGGUGUCCGGCGGAGGUCACCUCCCCAGGGCUCAGCUGCUCGGUCAGGAGAGCGUGUUUGUGCCAGCUGGCAGAACAAAAGGGCACAGCUGAGAGCAGCUCUGUCCUCAGCAGCUGUGGCUUUUUAGCUUUCCUGGUUUGGAUAGGCCUCUCCCUCAACCUGAAUGUUCAUCUCCGCUUGAUUUUCAUUAGAUGAUUUAAACACCGACCUCUGUCCCCAAUUUUGCACAGAGUGAACAGAAUAUGCAUUAUUAAAGCAAAAAUAAAUAAAAGUAAUCUAUAAAACAUGAA